CCCACCCGCCCUCAAAAUUAAUAAAACUAAACAAGAGGCUAUUGUGUAGUUCUAUGUUCUACCCCAGCUACUGCUGGGAAGAGAAAGAUGAGACGCUUUAUUUCUCAGUCUCAUAAAAGAGUUCAACAGUGUGUCGGCCGACUCUGGUACGCCUUUAUGUUUAUGGCACUGUCCAGCUUUCUGCGAAUAGCGACUGGUACUGUGGAGCAAUGGAAUUGGAGCAAUGGAAACCUCUAAAACACUUAAUUCGUUUAACAUCCGCUCCUCAAACCCUGCUUGGGCAUUACUCUUCUCCAAAUUUUGAUGGAGUAGAGUUAGCAGAACUCUGAACUUAAUGUUGCCAGAGUGUCUGAGAGUUGUUAUCCCAGUUGGAGGAGAAGAAGGCUGUGACUGCAGUAGAGAUUUAUCUUCUCUGGCUCGCUGCCCCACUUUAGGAACUCCAGGGAGAAGAGACAGCAUGUCCCUGUGUUGCCCUGUCUGGUCUCAAACUCCUGGGCUCAAGCAAUCCUCCUGCCUUACUUCACAAAGUGUUGGGAUUACAGGGUAGCUAUUUGGAGGUGAGAACACCAUGAAGACUUCCAAAGGUAGGAGGGGAUUUUUCUUAUUUUGAAUUGUUGUUAUUUAUUUAUUUAUUUAUUUAUUAUGGCAGGAAUGCCCUUUAUUGGUUACAACGAGAAGUGGAAGAGUAGGGGAUAGGACAGCUCGCGAUCCUGGGGCAGAGUCCUCAGACUUGGUUGCUCGCCACCCUGUCUGUUAUUUUAUUUUAAACAGUGGAGCAAAUGGUUUUCUUUGGGAGUGCUGGGAUGUCAAGCCAGGUUGUCAGAAGUCCCAUCUGCUGGAGGACAUGCUACCACAGGCUUAGAAAAAACUGAAGAAAAUUUGGAGACUAAUAGGCUGAAGAACCUUCAAAUACAGAAGGGGAGAUGAAGCCUGCUUUUUUUCUCCCACUGAAAACAAAAAACAAAACAAAACCCUUUGGGAGGUAGAGAAAUUCACCUUGUCAUGGUGGGAAAUUAAAAGAUAAGGCUACUGAUUUAAAAUAUAGAGGAAGGAUAAAAGUGAUGGAGAGAGCCAGGCCACACAAAUAAUUUUCUUCCUUGAUUCCUAAGGGACUUCAAAUAUAUUUCCUAGCAGCAGGAGCAAUAAAAGAAAAAGGAAAGGGAAAUAUCCUUGAAGAUUAUUUUUUCGUCCCAAUUAUCCAGAUCUCAUAUGAGCAAAGUCAGAAAGUGGUAUUGGUAAAGUUAGCCUCACAAAAUCAAAAUAAAGCAAAAGAUAAGCUUCAUCAAAACCAGGACUUAUGUCUGUUUUUUUCAUUGCUGUAGUGUUACCACGUAGAAGAGUGCCUGGCACAUAAUAGAUGCUCAAUAAAUAAUAUUUGAAAUUAAAAUGAAAAUCAAAUGGAAAAUUUGAGCCCAAUACUGCUUGAAAUGUGAUCUUGGCCCUUAAUUACUCUCUAUGAUUGGUAUGGUCUGGGGACCGAGGGUUACAUUUGCCAAAACUGACAGCCUCCAUAGCAAGAGGAAUGAAGUGUGGGUUGUUGACAGAACCUGAAUUUUUAAUUAUGAUGAUUAUUGUUACUUUAAAUUUUCUUAACAACGAAAGCAAAACCUGGAGCCAUUUAAUAGCAGUUGUUUCUUUGUUGUUUUUUUCUUUUGGAAUGCAAUGCCGUAACUGGAAAUCAGACUGACUCUGCAAAUAGAUAUUGACUU